CCUACGGGAGGCAGCAGUGGGGAAUAUUGGACAAUGGGCGAAAGCCUGAUCCAGCAAUGCCGCGUGAGUGAAGAAGGCCUUAGGGUUGUAAAGCUCUUUUACCAGGGAAGAUAAUGACUGUACCGGGAGAAUAAGCCCCGGCUAACUCCAUGCCAGCAGCCGCGGUAAU
rnacentral:rRNA from 1 species